rnacentral:siRNA from 1 species
AGCAGAACUGAGGAGUAUGAUGGC